rnacentral:rRNA from 1 species
GUCCACGCUGUAAACGAUGAGGACUAGUUGUCGGAGGGGUCUGCCUUUCGGUGACGCAGCUAACGCGUUAAGUCCUCCGCCUGGGGAGUACGGCCGCAAGGUUGAAACUCAAAGGAAUUGACGGGGCCCGCACAAGCGGUGGAGCAUGUGGUUUAAUUCGACGCAACGCGAAAACCUUACCUGCCCUUGACAUGCUAGGAAUCCUUCAGAGAUGAGGGAGUGCCUUCGGGGAACCUAGACACAGGUGCUGCAUGGCUGUCGU